rnacentral:rRNA from 1 species
CCUACGGGCGGCAGCAGUCGAGAAUCAUUCACAAUGGGGGAAACCCUGAUGGUGCGACGCCGCGUGGGGGAAUGAAGGUCUUCGGAUUGUAAACCCCUGUCAUGUGGGAGCAAAUUAAAAAGAUAGUACCACAAGAGGAAGAGACGGCUAACUCUGUGCCAGCAGCCGCGGUAAUACAGAGGUCUCAAGCGUUGUUCGGAAUCACUGGGCGUAAGGCGUGCGUAGGCUGUUUCGUAAGUCGUGUGUGAAAGGCGCGGGCUCAACCCGCGGACGGCACAUGAUACUGCGAGACUAGAGUAAUGGAGGGGGAACCGGAAUUCUCGGUGUAGCAGUGAAAUGCGUAGAUAUCGAGAGGAACACUCGUGGCGAAGGCGGGUUCCUGGACAUUAACUGACGCUGAGGCACGAAGGCCAGGGGAGCGAAAGGGAUUAGAUAUCCCGGUAGUC